GAAGGAAAGGUAGCUCAGCAUUAAUUGUUGUAGCCACUAAUACAUGUCUUCUUGUUGCUGCUACAACUGAUGGCUUCCCUCCAGGUCAGCUCAAUACUGUAGUGGAAAAAUUAGGAGAUUAUCUGAGAGCAAACAAUUUCUAGCUCCAAUCCAUUUUCUUUUGUAUACAAUGUUCCACUUCACUGAAGACUUCGGCUUGUCUGUGACAGUAUUGUGUAUGCAGCUGCAGUUGUAUUCAACAGAAAGGGGAGAAGACUUUUUUAUAAUCUAGUGACGAGCCAAUUUCCUGCUUAUGCCAUUUUAUACUCUGAUUCAUUGACUAUUCUCCUGUGCCAGUGCAAGUAGACAGUUGUACGAAUGUUGUGUAUUUUUUCAUUUCUUUUUUUCCAUCCUUAAUUUCUCUUGUAUAUUUAUCUCUAAAAUAGUUACAUCAUUUAACUUGAGUUCAUCAUAUAUAGGAUCUUUUUUCUUUUCAUAAUGGAAUCUCAUUAUCCAAUAUAAUUCUAUUCGUACUUAACGCAACUUUAGUGACAAGCUACAUUAGCACAAAAAAGGGGUUUGUCAGCAUUUCUACAACUUUUUUAAAAAAGUCUUUUCAAUGCUUCGUAUCAAACUAGUCAUGUAUCCAUUUACUAGCAUAUCACUAAUGGUUGUUUGUGAUGCAUUAAAAAAAAAAUACAAAAAUUUUGCUAAGAAUAAAGCCCAAUCAUCUUUAGUAUUUUUCAUAUUUUAAAUCGAGACUUUUUUCUAAAAAAAAAUUCUUAAUGGCGUGAAGAAUUCUUUCUAAACCAAAAAUCCUUCCUUCAUUGGUGCUUUAUAAAACUUGUCUUCCUUUCCCACUAUUGUAGAAAAAAACUGACGAAAUUAUUCUUUUACUUUUCUUACGAAUUUCUCUUUUUCUAAGAGGCAACUCUCCCUGCACCAACAAUGCAGAUUAAUUAUUCCUAGUAUCCCAUUUUUGAUGUUAUUGAAAGUUUUUGCGUGAAUUGUGUCUAUAGCUGCAUCGUCAUGAUGUGCGUGGAACCAUGUUGUGUGCCGUCUUUUAGCUAAAGACCGUCGUCUUUACGAUCUUAUUGUAUUUUGCUCCCAAAAUUUAACAUGUCCUGUCAUUCCUCUUUCAGCUUUAAAUCUAUUCCCCACAUAAGAUAUCCAUUGGUGCCAAUAAGUGAAGACGACAAUGUUUAAGUGCUAUUUGUAAGUUCCUGCGUUAUAUUUCAUUUUGUACUGCUGGUAUAAUACGUCAACGAUACCCUAAUAAAAGAAGGAAGUCAUUCCAAUAUAUUCUCGGA